CCUACGGGGGGCAGCAGUAGGGAAUAUUGCUCAAUGGGGGAAACCCUGAAGCAGCAACGCCGCGUGGAGGAUGAAGGUUUUAGGAUUGUAAACUCCUUUUGUGAGAGAAGAUAAUGACGUUAUCUCACGAAUAAGCACCGGCUAACUCCGUGCCAGCAGCCGCGGUAAUACGGAGGGUGCAAGCGUUACUCGGAAUCACUGGGCGUAAAGAGUGCGCAGGUGGGCUUGUAAGUCCGAUGUAAAAUCCUGUAGCUUAACCACAGAACUGCAUUUGCAAUUUGGAGUCUAGAGUGUGGGAGGGGAGGUGGAAUGCUUGGUGUAGGGGUAAAAUCCGUAGAUAUCAAGAGGAAUACUCAUUGCGAAGGCGACCUACUGGAACAUUACUGACGCUCAUGCACGAAAGCGUGGGGAGCAAACAGGAUUAGAUACCCUUGUAGUC
rnacentral:rRNA from 1 species